rnacentral:rRNA from 1 species
GACGAACGCUGGCAGCGUGCUUAACACAUGCAAGUCGAACGAUGAAAGUGGAGCUUGCUCCGCUGGAUUAGUGGCGAACGGGUGAGUAACACGUGGGCAACCUGCCCCAGACUCUGGGAUAACUCCUCGAAAGAGGUGCUAAUACCGGAUACGAACUCCUUGGGCAUCCUUGGAGUUGGAAAGUUUUUCGGUCUGGGAUGGGCCCGCGGCCUAUCAGCUUGUUGGUGGGGUAGUGGCCCACCAAGGCGACGACGGGUAGCCGGCCUGAGAGGGCGACCGGCCACACUGGGACUGAGACACGGCCCAGACUCCUACGGGAGGCAGCAGUGGGGAAUAUUGCGCAAUGGGCGAAAGCCUGACGCAGCGACGCCGCGUGAGGGAUGACGGCCUUCGGGUUGUAAACCUCUUUCAGCAGGGAAGAAGCGAAAGUGACGGUACCUGCAGAAGAAGCACCGGCUAACUGCGUGCCAGCCGCCGCCGUAA